UUCUCCUCAUACGGCUCGAGAAAAUGAUUCGAAUUUCUGUCGAUAAUAAUAGAAAUUAGACUAUGACGUGCAUUAAUUUCCUUACAGAAAAAACAAAUUUCAUUUAUACUCAUGACUCAAGUGGGCUAAUUUUGCCUGACAAACUUCGAAGGCAAAAUCCUUCCAAAAAUUUUGAGUCGUCUUUAAACUCUUUUCUUUGUCUCAUUUCGAACGAAUUGACUUUUAUUCCUUAUUCUAAUCCAACUCUGUUGUUGAGACAAUUGAAAAUUGUGUUUACUUGUUCUGGAAUCCUUUAUCUUUGAUUUGUGAAAUCCUUGGGUUUAGACAUUACUUCGGGAAUUCCUAUUUUUUUCUUUCAAAAGAGUAGCAACAUACCCUUUUUUCUUAUUUCCUUCGAUAAAGCAUUUAUCUCUUCUAUAGAAAUCUAAUAAGAGGGAUUGAUUCUGAUAUACUUUUAUUGGACUUUCUUCUUAUUUUAACCUUUCGAUUUAUUUCCAUAUUAAGGAUAGACUGACAAAGUUGGCCUAAUUUAUUAGUUUUCACUAACCCUAGAUUCUUUCCCUUGAUAAAAAAAAUUCCGUCCUCUCGAGCUCCAUCAUGUACUAUGUUACUUAAACCCAGCGCAAAUUUGGUUCGGAACGAAUAGAACAGGCUAUGUCGAGCCAAGAGCAUUUUCAUUACUAUGGAAAAUGAUGGAUAGCAAAAUCCACAAUCGAUCAUGUCCUUCAAGUCGCACGUUGCCUUCUACCACAUCGUUUUAAACGAAGUUUUACCAUAACAAACAUUCCUCUUUUCAUUGCAAAGUGGUAUAGAGAAUUGAUCCAAUAUGGAUGGAAUCAUGAAUAGAGAUCGGAAGAGAA